GCGGCGAGUGAAGCGGCAAGAGCUCAGAUUUGGAAUCGUGUUUCGGCACGAGUUGUAAAUUGCAGGUUGGAGUCUUUGUGGAAGCGUGUGUCCAAGUCCCUUGGAACAGGGCGCCAUUGAGGGUGAGAGCCCCGUGGGAUGCGCGCGGAAGCAGCAAGGCCCUUCUGACGAGUCGAGUUGUUUGGGAAUGCAGCUCUAAGCGGGUGGUAAAUUCCAUCUAAGGCUAAAUACUGGCGAGAGACCGAUAGCGAACAAGUACUGUGAAGGAAAGAUGAAAAGCACUUUGAAAAGAGAGUGAAACAGCACGUGAAAUUGUUGAAAGGGAAGGGUAUUGGGCCCGACAUGGGGAUUGCGCAUCUCUGCUCCUUGUGGGCGGGGCGCUGUGCUUUUCCUGGGCCAGCAUCGGUUUUUGCCGCAGGAGAAGGGGUACUGGAAUGUGGCUCCUCGGAGUGUUAUAGCCAGUGCCAGAUGCUGCGUGCGGGGACCGAGGGCUGCGACAUCUGUCUCGGAUGCUGGCACAACGGCGCAAUACCGCCCG
rnacentral:rRNA from 1 species